rnacentral:tRNA from 1 species
GCACUGGUGGCUCAGUGGCAGAGUUCUCGCCUUCCAAAAGGGAGACACAGGUUUGAUUCCUGGCCAAUGCA